UCCCGUAGUUCAUUAUUUGGGGCAUUUCGUGCAUCAUGGGGGUGAAUUGGUAAAUUUCUAUACUCAAAAAACUCCAGAAACGGCAUGUGCAAAAUUUAAGGGGAGUAUACCCACUACUUUCUCUCUAUUCUACACAUCAUUCAUCUCCAAACGUAUUAACUCAAAAUCUCGCUACCUGCUUCGUCUCCCCAAUUUUGAACCCCUUUCAAAACCCUAACCGCCCUCUAUACCCGCUUCGUCUCCAACCCGAUUUCUUGGAACUUCAAUUGGUGUCUGCUUUAGUGACCAACAACCCUUCCGGUUUUGUGCAAGAUUCGUCUGCGGUCAAAGAGGAGAUUUCAAAAUGUCUAAAAGAGGACGUCCGUCAGUUUCACAACAAUCGCAGAAAGAGGGGGUGAAGCAGCUCAGGAUAGACAUCAAAGACGCAGUAGAUGAUAUCCUGCCUGUGGGAAUCGCACAGAAAUUCCGUGAACGAUGAUAGAAGCAACAGCUAGUUCUGCUCAAACUGAAUUUGAGGACAAAAAACAUAGAGGUAGAAACGACGAUUAUUUGUACUGUCGACGUACGCCUGCUGAGUUCUUUCGUGACUAGUACAACUCCGGAAGAGACAGAGGAUAGGAAACCAAGGGGUAGGCACGUCGACCAUCUGUAUUGUCGACGAACCCCUACAGAGUUUCUGAAUUGUAUAAAGAGUUUAACUCCGCGGCAGAAGGAAG